AACGAACGCUGGCGGCAGGCUUAACACAUGCAAGUCGAGCGCCCCGCAAGGGGAGCGGCAGACGGGUGAGUAACGCGUGGGAACGUACCUUUUGCUACGGAAUAACUCAGGGAAACUUGUGCUAAUACCGUAUGUGCCCUUCGGGGGAAAGAUUUAUCGGCAAAGGAUCGGCCCGCGUUGGAUUAGCUAGUUGGUGAGGUAAAGGCUCACCAAGGCGACGAUCCAUAGCUGGUCUGAGAGGAUGAUCAGCCACACUGGGACUGAGACACGGCCCAGACUCCUACGGGAGGCAGCAGUGGGGAAUAUUGGACAAUGGGCGCAAGCCUGAUCCAGCCAUGCCGCGUGAGUGAUGAAGGCCCUAGGGUUGUAAAGCUCUUUCACCGGUGAAGAUAAUGACGGUAACCGGAGAAGAAGCCCCGGCUAACUUCGUG
rnacentral:rRNA from 1 species